GGGCGCGUAGGCGGAUAUGCGAGCUUGGUGUGAAAAGACCGCAGCUCAACUGCGGGAGCGCGCUGAGAACUGUGUAUCUAGAGUUCAAGAGGGGAAGCUGGAAUUCCUGGUGUAGGGGUGAAAUCUGUAGAUAUCAGGAAGAACAUCAGUGGCGAAGGCGAGCUUCUGGCUAUGAACUGACGCUGAGGCGCGAAAGCGUGGGGAGCGAACAGGAUUAGAUACCCUGGUAGUCCACGCUGUAAACGAUGUGCACUAGGUGUCGGGUCGUUGAAGAUUCGGUGCCGUAGCUAACGCGUUAAGUGCACCGCCUGGGGAGUAUGCUCGCAAGGGUGAAACUCAAAGGAAUUGACGGGGGCCCGCACAAGCGGUGGAGCAUGUGGUUUAAUUCGAUGAUACGCGAGAAACCUUACCAGGGCUUGACAUAUGCAGGAAUGCGCAUGAGAGUGCGCAGCCCUUCGGGGCCUGCAUACAGGUGCUGCAUGGCCGUCGUCAGCUCGUGCCGUGAGGUGUUGGGUUAAGUCCCGCAACGAGCGCAACCCCUAUUGUCUGUUGCCAGCAUUUCGGAUGGGGACUCAGACAAGACUGCCGGUGGCAAACCGGAGGAAGGUGGGGACGACGUCAGGUCAUCAUGGCCCUUAUGUCCUGGGCUACACACGUGCUACAAUGGUCGGUACAGAGCGAUGCAAAACCGCGAGGUGGAGCAAAACGCAGAAAGCCGGCCUCAGUUCGGAUCGGAGUCUGAAACCCGACUCCGUGAAGGUGGAAUCGCUAGUAAUCGCAUAUCAGCAUGAUGCGGUGAAUACGUUCCCGGGCCUUGUACACACCGCCCGUCACACCACCCGAGUUGGGGGUACCCGAGUCGCUUGCCUACCUGCAAAGGAGG
rnacentral:rRNA from 1 species